rnacentral:rRNA from 1 species
UCAGAUCAGGUAGGAAUACCCGCUGAACUUAAGCAUAUCAAUAAGCGGAGG